CAGUCGAGGGGCAGCGGGGAGGUAGCAAUACUUCCGCCGGCGACCGGCGCACGGGUGAGUAACACGUAUGGAACCUGCCCGUAGCAGGGGGAUAAGCGGAAGAAAUUCCGUCUAAUACCGCGUAAUAACUCCGAGAGGCAUCUCUUGGGGUUUAAAGGGUAACACCGGCUACGGAUGGCCAUGCGGCGCAUUAGCUAGUUGGCGGGGUAACGGCCCACCAAGGCGACGAUGCGUAGGGGUUCUGAGAGGAAGGUCCCCCACACUGGUACUGAGACACGGACCAGACUCCUACGGGAGGCAGCAGUGAGGAAUAUUGGUCAAUGAGCGGGAGCCUGAACCAGCCAAGUCGCGUGAGGGAUGACGGCCCUAUGGGUUGUAAACCUCUUUUGCCGGGGAGCAAAGUGCCGCACGUGUGCGGUUUGGAGAGUACCCGGAGAAAAAGCAUCGGCUAACUCCGUGCCAGCAGCCGCGGUAAUACGGAGGAUGCGAGCGUUAUCCGGAUUUAUUGGGUUUAAAGGGUGCGUAGGCGGACGCUUAAGUCAGCGGUAAAAUUGCGGGGCUCAACCUCGUCGAGCCGUUGAAACUGGGUGCCUUGAGUGGGCGAGAAGUACGCGGAAUGCGUGGUGUAGCGGUGAAAUGCAUAGAUAUCACGCAGAACUCCGAUUGCGAAGGCAGCGUACCGGCGCCCAACUGACGCUGAAGCACGAAGGCGUGGGUAUCGAACAGGAUUAGAUACCCUGGUAGUCCACGCAGUAAACGAUGAAUGCUAGUUGUCCGGGGCGAUUGAGUUCUGGGUGACACAGCGAAAGCGUUAAGCAUUCCACCUGGGGAGUA
rnacentral:rRNA from 1 species